UGCCUACUUUGUAUCUGGCAGCAAGACAA
rnacentral:piRNA from 1 species